GUAGGGAAUAUUGCGCAAUGGACGAAAGUCUGACGCAGCGACGCCGCGUGAGUGAUGAAGGCCUUAGGGUCGUAAAGCUCUGUUGAAUGGGAAGAAAAAAAUGACGGUACCAUUCGAGGAAGGACCGGCUAACUUCGUGCCAGCAGCCGCGGUAAUACGAGGGGUCCUAGCGUUGUUCGGAAUCAUUGGGCGUAAAGGGUGUGUAGGUGGCCAUGUAAGUCAGGUGUGAAAGCCCCGGGCUCAACCCGGGAAGUGCACUUGAUACUGCGUGGCUUGAGUACCGAAGAGGGUAGUGGAAUUCCAGGUGUAGUGGUGAAAUACGUAGAUAUCUGGAGGAACACCGGUGGCGAAGGCGGCCAACUGGUCCAUUACUGACGCUGAGGUGCGAAAGCGUGGGGAGCAAACAGGAUUAGAAACCCCGGUAGCC
rnacentral:rRNA from 1 species